rnacentral:rRNA from 1 species
AUUGAACGCUGGCGGCAGGCCUAACCCAUGCAAGUCGAGCGAGCGGCGGACGGGUGAGUAAUGUAUGGGGACUGCCCGAUAGAGGGGGAUAACUACUGGAAACGGUGGCUAAUACCGCAUACUAUCGGAUAACCCAUAUGGGAUUAGCUAGUAGGUGGGGUAAAGGCCCACCUAGGCGACGAUCUCUAGCUUGUCUGAGAGGAUGAUCAGACUCACUGGGACCGAGACACGGGCCAGACUCCGACGGAGGCAGUAGGGGGGUACAUUGCACAAGGGGCGCAAGCCUGAUGCAGCCAUGCCGCGUGUAUGAAGAAGGCGUUCGGGUUGUAAAGUACUUUCAGUCGGGAGGCGUUACCGACAGAAGAAGCACCGGCUAACUCCGUGCCAGCCGCGGUAAUAC